UUAAGCGACUAAGCGUACACGGUGGAUGCCCUGGCAGUCAGAGGCGAUGAAGGACGUGCUAAUCUGCGAUAAGCGCCGGUAAGGUGAUAUGAACCGUUAUAACCGGCGAUUUCCGAAUGGGGAAACCCAGUGUGAUUCGUCACACUAUCAUUAACUGAAUCCAUAGGUUAAUGAGGCGAACCGGGGGAACUGAAACAUCUAAGUACCCCGAGGAAAAGAAAUCAACCGAGAUUCCCCCAGUAGCGGCGAGCGAACGGGGAGGAGCCCAGAGCCUGAAUCAGCAUGUGUGUUAGUGGAAGCGUCUGGAAAGGCGCGCGAUACAGGGUGACAGCCCCGUACACAAAAGCGCAUGUGCUGUGAGCUCGAUGAGUAGGGCGGGACACGUGGUAUCCUGUCUGAAUAUGGGGGGACCAUCCUCCAAGGCUAAAUACUCCUGACUGACCGAUAGUGAACCAGUACCGUGAGGGAAAGGCGAAAAGAACCCCGGCGAGGGGAGUGAAAAAGAACCUGAAACCGUGUACGUACAAGCAGUGGGAGCACAGGUUUACCUGUGUGACUGCGUACCUUUUGUAUAAUGGGUCAGCGACUUAUAUUCUGUAGCAAGGUUAACCGAAUAGGGGAGCCGGAGGGAAACCGAGUCUUAAUUGGGCGUUAAGUUGCAGGGUAUAGACCCGAAACCCGGUGAUCUAGCCAUGGGCAGGUUGAAGGUUGGGUAACACUAACUGGAGGACCGAACCGACUAAUGUUGAAAAAUUAGCGGAUGACCUGUGGCUGGGGGUGAAAGGCCAAUCAAACCGGGAGAUAGCUGGUUCUCCCCGAAAGCUAUUUAGGUAGCGCCUCGUGAACUCAUCUCCGGGGGUAGAGCACUGUUUCGGCUAGGGGGCCAUCCCGGCUUACCAACCCGAUGCAAACUGCGAAUACCGGAGAAUGUUAUCACGGGAGACACACGGCGGGUGCUAACGUCCGUCGUGAAGAGGGAAACAACCCAGACCGCCAGCUAAGGUCCCAAAGUCAUGGUUAAGUGGGAAACGAUGUGGGAAGGCCCAGACAGCCAGGAUGUUGGCUUAGAAGCAGCCAUCAUUUAAAGAAAGCGUAAUAGCUCACUGGUCGAGUCGGCCUGCGCGGAAGAUGUAACGGGGCUAAACCAUGCACCGAAGCUGCGGCAGCGACACUGUGUGUUGUUGGGUAGGGGAGCGUUCUGUAAGCCUGUGAAGGUGGCCUGUGAGGGUUGCUGGAGGUAUCAGAAGUGCGAAUGCUGACAUAAGUAACGAUAAAGCGGGUGAAAAGCCCGCUCGCCGGAAGACCAAGGGUUCCUGUCCAACGUUAAUCGGGGCAGGGUGAGUCGACCCCUAAGGCGAGGCCGAAAGGCGUAGUCGAUGGGAAACAGGUUAAUAUUCCUGUACUUGGUGUUACUGCGAAGGGGGGACGGAGAAGGCUAUGUUGGCCGGGCGACGGUUGUCCCGGUUUAAGCGUGUAGGCUGGUUUUCCAGGCAAAUCCGGAAAAUCAAGGCUGAGGCGUGAUGACGAGGCACUACGGUGCUGAAGCAACAAAUGCCCUGCUUCCAGGAAAAGCCUCUAAGCAUCAGGUAACAUCAAAUCGUACCCCAAACCGACACAGGUGGUCAGGUAGAGAAUACCAAGGCGCUUGAGAGAACUCGGGUGAAGGAACUAGGCAAAAUGGUGCCGUAACUUCGGGAGAAGGCACGCUGACACGUAGGUGAAGUGAUUUACUCAUGGAGCUGAAGUCAGUCGAAGAUACCAGCUGGCUGCAACUGUUUAUUAAAAACACAGCACUGUGCAAACACGAAAGUGGACGUAUACGGUGUGACGCCUGCCCGGUGCCGGAAGGUUAAUUGAUGGGGUCAGCGCAAGCGAAGCUCCUGAUCGAAGCCCCGGUAAACGGCGGCCGUAACUAUAACGGUCCUAAGGUAGCGAAAUUCCUUGUCGGGUAAGUUCCGACCUGCACGAAUGGCGUAAUGAUGGCCAGGCUGUCUCCACCCGAGACUCAGUGAAAUUGAACUCGCUGUGAAGAUGCAGUGUACCCGCGGCAAGACGGAAAGACCCCGUGAACCUUUACUAUAGCUUGACACUGAACAUUGAGCCUUGAUGUGUAGGAUAGGUGGGAGGCUUUGAAGCGUGGACGCCAGUCUGCGUGGAGCCGACCUUGAAAUACCACCCUUUAAUGUUUGAUGUUCUAACGUGGACCCGUAAUCCGGGUUGCGGACAGUGUCUGGUGGGUAGUUUGACUGGGGCGGUCUCCUCCUAAAGAGUAACGGAGGAGCACGAAGGUUGGCUAAUCCUGGUCGGACAUCAGGAGGUUAGUGCAAUGGCAUAAGCCAGCUUGACUGCGAGCGUGACGGCGCGAGCAGGUGCGAAAGCAGGUCAUAGUGAUCCGGUGGUUCUGAAUGGAAGGGCCAUCGCUCAACGGAUAAAAGGUACUCCGGGGAUAACAGGCUGAUACCGCCCAAGAGUUCAUAUCGACGGCGGUGUUUGGCACCUCGAUGUCGGCUCAUCACAUCCUGGGGCUGAAGUAGGUCCCAAGGGUAUGGCUGUUCGCCAUUUAAAGUGGUACGCGAGCUGGGUUUAGAACGUCGUGAGACAGUUCGGUCCCUAUCUGCCGUGGGCGCUGGAGAACUGAGGGGGGCUGCUCCUAGUACGAGAGGACCGGAGUGGACGCAUCACUGGUGUUCGGGUUGUCAUGCCAAUGGCACUGCCCGGUAGCUAAAUGCGGAAGAGAUAAGUGCUGAAAGCAUCUAAGCACGAAACUUGCCCCGAGAUGAGUUCUCCCUGAGACUUAGAGUCUCCUGAAGGAACGUUGAAGACGACGACGUUGAUAGGCCGGGUGUGUAAGCGCAGCGAUGCGUUGAGCUAACCGGUACUAAUGAACCGUGAGGCUUAACC
rnacentral:rRNA from 1 species